UACGUAGGGGGCAAGCGUUGUCCGGAUUUACUGGGCGUAAAGAGCGCGUAGGCGGAAAUUUAAGCGUGGCCUGAAAGCCCCCGGCUCAACCGGGGAGUGCGGCUGCGAACUGGGUUUCUUGAGGACGAUAGAGGAGAGUGGAAUUCCUGGUGUAGCGGUGAAAUGCGCAGAUAUCAGGAAGAACACCUAUGGCGAAGGCAGCUCUCUGGGACGGUACUGACGCUGAGACGCGAAAGCGUGGGGAGCGAACAGG
rnacentral:rRNA from 1 species